GACGAACGCUGGCGGCGUGCUUAAUACAUGCAAGCCGAGCGAGGCCCAUCCAGUGGCAACACUGGGGAAGGCCGAGCGGCGAACGGGUGAGUAACACGUGAGCAACCUGCCCCGAAGUCUGGAAUAACAUCGGGAAACCGGUGCUAAUACCGGAUUGCCCCACCUGACCGCAUGAUCGGGUGAGGAAAGAUCUAUCGCUUCGGGAGGGGCUCGCGGCCUAUCAGCAGUUGGCGGGGUAACGGCCCACCAAGGCGUCGACGGGUAGCUGGUCUGAGAGGACGACCAGCCACACUGGGACUGAGACACGGCCCAGACUCCUACGGGAGGCAGCAGUAGGGAAUCUUGCGCAAUGGGCGAAAGCCUGACGCAGCAACGCCGCGUGGGGGA
rnacentral:rRNA from 1 species